rnacentral:misc_RNA from 1 species
GAUGAAGAACGUAGCAAAAUGCGAUAAGUAAUGUGAAUUGCAGAAUUCAGUGAAUCAUCGAAUCUUUGAACGCACAUUGCGCCCGCCAGUAAUCUGGCGGGCAUGCCUGUUCGAGCGUCAUUUCAACCCUCAAGCUCAGCUUGGUGUUGGGACUCGCGGUAACCCGCGUUCCCCAAAUCGAUUGGCGGUCACGUCGAGCUUCCAUAGCGUAGUAAUCAUACACCUCGUUACUGGUAAUCGUCGCGGCCACGCCGUAAAACCCCAACUUCUGAAUGUUGACCUCGGAUCAGGUAGGAAUACCCGCUGAACUUAAGCAUAUCAAUAAGCGGAGGA